rnacentral:rRNA from 1 species
CCUACGGGAGGCAGCAGUGGGGAAUAUUGGACAAUGGGCGCAAGCCUGAUCCAGCAAUGCCGCGUGAGUGAUGAAGGCCUUAGGGUCGUAAAGCUCUUUUACCAGGGAUGAUAAUGACAGUACCUGGAGAAUAAGCUCCGGCUAACUCCGUGCCAGCAGCCGCGGUAAUACGGAGGGAGCUAGCGUUGUUCGGAAUUACUGGGCGUAAAGCGUACGUAGGCGGUUAUUCAAGUCAGAGGUGAAAGCCCGGGGCUCAACCCCGGAACGGCCUUUGAAACUAGGUAGCUAGAAUCUUGGAGAGGUCAGUGGAAUUCCGAGUGUAGAGGUGAAAUUCGUAGAUAUUCGGAAGAACACCAGUGGCGAAGGCGACUGACUGGACAAGUAUUGACGCUGAGGUACGAAAGCGUGGGGAGCAAACAGGAUUAGAUACCCUGGUAGUCCACGCCGUAAACGAUGAUAACUAGCUGUCCGGGCACUUGGUGCCUGGGUGGCGCAGCUAACGCAUUAAGUUAUCCGCCUGGGGAUACGGUCGCAAGNUUAAAACUCAAAGGAAUUGACGG